rnacentral:rRNA from 1 species
AAACCAGCACCUCAAGUGGUUAGGAUGAUUAUUGGGCCUAAAGCAUCCGUAGCCUGCUUUGUCAGUUUUCGGUUAAAUCCAUACGCUCAACGUAUGGGCUGCCGGAAAUACUGCAAAGCUAGGGAGUGGGAGAGGUAGACGGUACUCGGGAGGAAGGGGUAAAAUCCUUUGAUCUCUCGAUGACCACCUGUGGCGAAGGCGGUCUACCAGAACACGUCCGACGGUGAGGGAUGAAAGCUGGGGGAGCAAACCGGAUUAGAAACCCGGGUAGUCC